rnacentral:rRNA from 1 species
CCUACGGGAGGCAGCAGUGAGGAAUAUUGGUCAAUGGGCGCGAGUCUUAACCAGCCAAGUCGCGUGAGUGAAGACGGUCCUAUGGAUUGUAAACCUCUUAUGUCGGGGAGCAAAAGACGCCACGCGUGGCGUUCCGAGAGUAACCGAAGAAAAAGCAUCGGCUAACUCCGUGCCAGCAGCCGCGAUAAUACGGAGGAUACGAGCGUUAUCCGGGUUUAUUGGGUUAAAAGGGUGCGCAGGGGGAAGAUACAGUCAGCGGUAAAAUUUAGAGGCUCAACCUCUUCGAGCCGUUGAAACUGGUAUUCUUGAGUGAGUGAGAAGUAUGCGGAAUGCGUGGUGUAGCGGUGAAAUGCAUAGAUAUCACGCAGAACUCCGAUUGCGAAGGCAGCAUACUGGCGCUCAACUGACGCUCAUGCACGAAAGUGUGGGUAUCGAACAGGAUUAGAUACCCCUGUAGUC